GCAGACAUAGUUUAACUAAAACCUUAAGCUGUGGACUUAAAAAUAAAGACUCACCACCCUUUGCCUGCC
rnacentral:tRNA from 1 species